GCCAGAUACUUAACUUAACAUUAUUGAGAUUCAACUUGACGGCUACAGAAUUACUGUAUUUGCUUCUUGGACCACACCAUGAGCUUUUAAAUUCUCGACCAGCUUUAAAUCAAACCACACAGCUGACGUAAUAUUGUACUGAAUGCUGGUACGGUUGCCUAACUUAGGUUUUGAAGUUUUCCUGUAGGCAUAUUUCAAAACCGCAGCCUUCCGCUGUAAGUACUGCAAAACAUUUUGUCUGUACAGUGCACCACAGGUGCUGCUAGCUUACAGAAGGGGGCAUAGGGGCCUAUUUCUGUGCCAGUCUAAUCUGUUGCUUAGCAUGUGCUUAGCAUUAGCAUAUAGACUGAUGUAGCCAGCAUGUUUACAAUCUGAAGUUCAGGUCUGAUAGUUCUUAUUGGCCAGUAGCUAGACAAUAAUCUUCAAAAGAUUAAAACUCUGUUCCAACUAAAAAAUGAAAUAGAUAUAAUACUCAUGUAGACUGAAUGGACGGGAUCAGUUUUAACAUUUCUUUUAACACAAAAAGUGUUACAGAUUUGUUUUUUCCAGGGUUUGCAUUUUCCGCGGACUUAUAUUACUAUAGACAGCAUGUAUUACCAUAUAAUAUUACUAUAGACAGCAUGUAUUACCAUAUAAUAUUACUAUAGACAGCAUGUAUUACCAUAUAAUAUUACUAUAGACAGCAUGUAUUACCAUAUAAUAUUACUAUAGACAGCAUGUAUUACCAUAUAAUUUUAGUCUUUAGUUUGAGUCUGCUACAACACCUUAAUUUACCUUAAAUAAUUCAUGCCAAUCACUGUCUAAAAAGAUCGUGGAAUGUAUAUUUACUAUAGCCAUACUUGACCCAUUUUUAUUUCUUUGUAUAUGACUUUUCAUAGCACUACUGUUCAAGAAACUUUCCUCAUCUAGUAAUUUAUUGAUUCUAAGGUAAUAAAAACACACAGACAGUCUGGGAAACAUUUCCCCAAAAAGCAAGAGGAGUCAGACUCAUUAAAAUGUCCAAUGCUGCACACAGGCCCUGAUCCCUGUGCCUCCGUCCUCCCAUAAGCACUUUAGAAUCUGUAGCCUCAUCCUCCCUGAGCUGCAAUAUAGCCUGUCACCUUUACAUUCCAAUUUUAUUCCUGCUUAAAAAGAACUGAAAGCGAAUACAAAAACGGCUAAAUUUGACUAAAAAAGAAUAAAUAAAUAUAUAUUACCAAUAUACUGAAUCCAUACUUCAUAAUUUGAGGGCACCUUUGCAGUUUUUGUUGCCUCUAAAAGUGUAUUCUAAAGAAAAUCUACAGCACCUUUUCAUCUUUAACUGUCUGGAAUCUCUAAAGAUCUCUAAGGUAACAUCUACUCAGAAACACUGCACUUGAUCAAGUCCUAACAUGUUCAAGUUCAGACACCCUGCUAUUUUUUCCACCAAUAGGGCAAAGCCACAAAACAAGGUAGUCACUGCUGUAUGAAGACGUGAACGCCAGUGGUGUGGGUUGACCUCGGACACGCUGUACAGACAAGGAAGAUUUCUGGAAGUCCAACUAUUUGAAUAAAUCUUCUGAGGGGAACGGUGGCAUUGAAGAUGAUCUUGGUCAAUCGGCGCAUCAUCACUCACCUGCUCUGCCUACCCACUCUGCACAUGCGAUCAGAGACAGAAAGAGAGAUGGAGAGAGAGAGAGAGAGUGGGAGAUAGAGAGGGAGUGGGAGAUAGAGAGGGAUAGAAAGAGGGAGAGAGAGAGGUGGAGAGAGAGACAGAGAGAGAGGGAGAGAGAGAGAGUGGGAGAU
ensembl:lncRNA